UCCAUGCGUCAGAUGGACCCCGAUCAGCAGAUCUUCAACUGCAGACUGUCUAUGGCCAGACGAGUGGUGGAGAAUACCUUCGGGAUUCUGGCUAUGAGGUUCCAGAUCUUCCUCGGCUCCCUAAACAGAUAUCCCAGGCAUGCGUCACUUUACACAACAUGCUGAGAACGAGGAACCGGAACAGUCAGAUGAACCUCAUAGACCGGGGAAUGGGGACUGUUCACUCACCCCAGGCAAGUGGCGCUCCUACACACAGCUGCUUAAAGGGGUAACCGGGGUACGAGGAACGUUACCCCACUAGAUGGCGCCAACCAAAGAAACUAUUGAAGGACUAUUUCAUGGGCCCAGGAGCUGUUCAUUGGCAAGAGAAGAUGAUAUCCCAAUGACUUUAAAGUGUACUCUAUUAUUUAGGACUACUUCAUUUA